rnacentral:misc_RNA from 1 species
UAAAGUAAAAUAUUUUUUUUUUUUCGAAAAUAUUUUAAAUAAAUUUAAAAAAGAAGAUUUUUCGCGAUCAUAUUUUGCCGCGGUUAAGCCCGUGCAGCUGUCUGUCUGUCUGUCAGGUACUGAAAAAAAUCAGUACCUCGGUACUUACGUGAAAACGUGGUUUGGACUUUGCCAAAGCUAAGUUUACUUUUAAUCUAUUUUCAUCCAUUACAUUUUUUAAUAUUAUUUUUCACUUGAAAUUUGUUUUAAUACUUUGUUUUCAUAGAUACAUAUCAUUACUAUUAUUUUUAUUUUCCUUUUUUUUUUUUUUUUUUUUUUUUUUUUUGUAACAGUACUUUCUAGUUUGAACUUUUCACUUCUCUAUCUUCCUAUAAUGAACUAAUAUUGUUUAAUUAAACUUAUAAUUACUUUUCAUCUUUAUUAAACUUUUUUAUUUCUGAUAGUUUUGACUUUUGCAUAAUUGCCAAGUUUCUGAAAUUUCUAACAAUAAAUUUCAUUAAACUAUUUCUGUCACUGUACUGACUUUUUUGAAUAUGGCUUCUUUGCAUGAAAAACUGAAAUAUUUCUGUUUAAUUACUGACAUGCAUUUAAUUAAUACAGAGGCAGCUGCACUCGAGUUUGCCACCGAUGCUGGACUUCUUCCCAGAGAGGAUGAGGCACCACCUUGCCCCAAGUGCCAGGCACCGAUGAGAAGCAACAAGAGAAAGGAAUCAAAGCUGGGAUGGCGUUGGGUCUGCAGCCUGAGAAAUCGCAACAACUGCUCUGGCAUGAUUAACCCCAUUGAAAACACCUUUUUUGAAGGUACAAAAAUCCCAAUAAGGGAAGCUUUAGUCAUAACUGUGUACUUUGUUCUAGAUCACAGUUUUAGCUACAUAAAUCAGCAGCUAAAGCUAUGGAGGGAAAAGCAAAAAUUACCAGUAAUUGCAAAUGAGACUAUUGUUGACUUUUUAUCAUAUUGUCGUGAGGUAUGCGAAAUGAAAAUCUAUAUUAAUUGAUGAAACAUUUUUGACCCGCCGCAAGUACAACCGCGGCAGGGUAACCAAAAAUAUGACCAUCGUAGUUUUAGGCAUCUACUGUCGAGAAGACAAAGAAGGAUUAUUUUUCAAGGUUAAAGGAAAAAGCAAAAGGCAUUUGUGGCCUUACAUUAAACGUCAUGUUCACCCAGAAACCACCUUCAUAUACACUGACUCUGCUCCACAAUAUAAAAGGAUAGAAAAUUUAUUUCCGGCAGCAACACAUAAAACUACCAAUCACAAGAAAGGCGUAUUCGUAGAUCCCGAUGAUAAACAGAACACUAUAAAUGAUCUUGAGGGUGAAAACAAACUUUUUAAGAGGUCUAUAAAGAGCAAGAGAACAGAUGAUAUUUGCACGCAGUACAUGGCUGUACAUUAUUACAGGCGGUUCCGCUUGAAGCCCUUUACUUAUGAUGGAGAAAGACUUGCUCAGUUUCUACAGGACAUUAAAGCUGUGUAUCCAGGCCAUGGAAAAGUCGGCCUUGAACUUAAAAUGUUGGACGAACCAACAUCAGAAAGCGAAGGAAUUGAGGACCUGAUGCCUCCAAAGAAAUCAGCCCGACAAGAUGAUGAUAUACCAUUCAUUCAGGAAGAUGAUGAUAAAUGGGAAUUCAACCAAAAAACAGAGCCCAGAAAACAAAAGGAUGGAAAUGUUGCGAAAAUGUUGCAUAUCUUUUACAGAAAGAGCUGCAGAUCCAAAAUGUCAUGAAAUACUAUGACAGAGGUAAGACAAAAUUUUAACCAUUCACAGCUUAUGUUUCAAAUUAGUGCUUCACUUUAUUUUAAUACUACUUCUUCAGUAAAAGCAACUGUAAAAUUUAUUUAGUUAUUAUUAGUAUAAGUUUACCUACUUAUUUUUCAGUAAAAAAAACUUUAUUGCAAAUUAGGUAAUCCAAAAAAAAUAAAUAAAAGAAAGAAGAAAAUUAAUUUUGACAGAUAAAUUGACAAACAUAGAGGUAAAGAAUAUUGCAGAAAUGAGAAAUGAAUCAUGGAAAGAAAUGAAUCUUCAGUCAGAAAAUAUACAGGGACUUCAAAAAUAACAUUUUGCUGCCACUUAGACGAGGGAAGAAGCAGAUGGAGAAAUCAACUCGGAUGACAAACCCAGUGCCUGGGGGUAUAGCCAGGUUUUUCUUUCAAGAAACACAUCCGAGUUGAAACGACUGAUGCGGGCCACACCUGAAAGCGAAGGAACUGAGCGACU